rnacentral:rRNA from 1 species
UCUGUAAAGUUCCUUCGACGAGUCGAGUAGUUUGGGAAUGCUGCUCUAAAUGGGGGGUAUAUGUCUUCUAAAGCUAAAUACCGGCCAGAGAGCGAUAGCGCACAAGUAGAGUGAUCGAAAGAUGAAAAGCACUUUGAAAAGAGAGUUAAAAAGUACGUGAAAUUGUUGAAAGGGAAGCGUUUAUGACCAGACUUGGGCUUGGUUAAUCAUCUGGGGUUCUCCCCAGUGCACUUUUCCAGUCCAGGCCAGCAUCAGUUUUCCCCGGGGGAUAAAGACUUCGGGAAUGUGGCUCUCUUCGGGGAGUGUUAUAGCCCGUUGUGUAAUACCCUGGGGGGGACUGAGGUUCGCGCAUCUGCAAGGAUGCUGGCGUAAUGGUCAUCAACGACCCGUCUUGAAACACGGACCAAGGAGUCGUCUUCGUAUGCGAGUGUUCGGGUGUCAAACCCCUACGCGUAAUGAAAGUGAACGCAGGUGAGAGCUUCGGCGCAUCAUCGACCGAUCCUGAUGUUCUCGGAUGGAUUUGAGUAAGAGCAUACGGGGCCGGACCCGAAAGAAGGUGAACUAUGCCUGUAUAGGGUGAAGCCAGAGGAAACUCUGGUGGAGGCUCGCAGCGGUUCUGACGUGCAAAU